rnacentral:lncRNA from 1 species
AACAAGAGGACCUGGGCCAGGUUCACACUGAGUUUAGCUGGCAUGUGGGACAAACUGCAAACAAAUAAAUACGAUUUCAGUCAGGAACAGUACUGCAAAGAAGAGGCAGUGUACAGGGCCACUGUAGAGUGGAGAGGCAAGUGGUGGUGACGACUGAAUGAGGAAAAAAGUUAGCAAGUGCAGGGACCCUGAGGUCAGAAAGAAGGUGAUAGGAGAACACGAGGGCAGGGCAUGGAAAUAAGGGAGAGGGCAGGGCCAGGGCACAGGCGCGGAGUCUGAGCGCCGGACACAACACUCUUUGACACCAACGUGAGUGAAUCUCCAGACAUUACUCGGAAAGAAGCCUUAAGCAAAAGAGGCCUGCUCCGUUAGUUGAAGCUCCCUGAGGUAGCCACCAUCCUGAAUUUUUUCCACCGCUGACUAGUUUUUCUGCUCUAGUCAGUCGUUCACUGGAGUCUGACUCUGCGACCCCAUGGACUCAGGCUGCCAAGCUCCUCUGUUGAUGGAAUUCUCCAGGAAAGAAUACUAGAGUUGGUUGCCAUUUCCUUCUCCAGGGAUCUUCUCCAUCCAGGAACUGAACCCACUUCACCAGGGAAGCCCGAGUAUCUGAGCAUUCGUGGGCCACCUGAAGGAUGUCCAUAUGAAGACACUUGGAACCCAAGGAUUCUGCUGGGCAAGAAGGAUGCAGACACCUGGGGGGGAAAGGGCUGGGCCUGCAUCUAAUGGUUACUCUGAAGCUUAGAAAUGUUGCAACAAGUGGACAAAUCCAUGCUCUUAAGAGCAGUGGGGCAUAGUGACUUGAAGAGUAUAAACCACGGAAUCAGGCUACAUGGGUUCAAUAUUGUCUGGCAUUAAGGUGUUCAUUGGAGGGAACGCUGCUAAAGCUGAAGCUCCAGUACUUUGGCCACCUCAUGCAAAGAGUUGACUCAUUGGAAAAGACCCUGAUGCUGGGAGGGAUUGGGGGCAGGAGGAGAAGGGGACUAUAGAGGAUGAGAUGGCUGGAUGGCAUCACUGACUCGAUGGACGUGAGUCUGAGUGAACUCUGGGAGUUGGUGAUGGACAGGGAGGCCUGGCGUGCUGCCAUUCAUGGGGUCGCAAAGAGUUGGACACGACUGAGCGACUGAACCGAACUGAACUAGCCACAUGAUGGACAACUGCUUCCCUUCCCUGGGCCUCAGUCUCCUCAUCUAUAAACAGGGUUAGUAACAAUAAUCCUAAUAGAGAUGUCAUGGGGAUUAAAUAAACCCAUAUGUGUAAGUGAUUCUCCA